rnacentral:misc_RNA from 1 species
AUAUUUUUCCCAGACGCGGAGGUUGGGGUCAUGGCGCCCCGAAGCCUCCUCCUGCUGCUCUCAGGGGCCCUGGCCCUGACCGAUACUUGGGCGGCGACGCCGCGAUUCCGAGGAUGGAGCCGCGGGAGCCGUGGGUGGAGCAAGAGGGGCCGCAGUAUUGGGAGUGGACCACAGGGUACGCCAAGGCCAACGCACAGACUGACCGAGUGGCCCUGAGGAACCUGCUCCGCCGCUACAACCAGAGCGAGGCUGGGUCUCACACCCUCCAGGGAAUGAAUGGCUGCGACAUGGGGCCCGACGGACGCCUCCUCCGCGGGUAUCACCAGCACGCGUACGACGGCAAGGAUUACAUCUCCCUGAACGAGGACCUGCGCUCCUGGACCGCGGCGGACACCGUGGCUCAGAUCACCCAGCGCUUCUAUGAGGCAGAGGAAUAUGCAGAGGAGUUCAGGACCUACCUGGAGGGCGAGUGCCUGGAGUUGCUCCGCAGAUACUUGGAGAAUGGGAAGGAGACGCUACAGCGCGCAGAUCCUCCAAAGGCACACGUUGCCCACCACCCCAUCUCUGACCAUGAGGCCACCCUGA